GGAAUGUCCGAGCACAUGGACGCAGAAGACACAGCAGUUUGCAUCCAAAAGAAGUCAGUGGAACAGAUCUUUGAGGCUAUGUGUGGAAAUGGUGCACAGCAGAUGGAAGGAGAGUCCUCAGAAGCCACUAAUGUAGCCAUUGUGAUGACUGAAGAUGAAGAUGGAGGCAAUUUGUGCUGUGUCUGCCGCAUCCAUU